rnacentral:sRNA from 1 species
GCCGGGCGCGGUGGCUCACGCCUGUAAUCCCAGCACUCUGGGAGGCCGAGGCGGGUGGAUCACCUGAGGUCGGGAGUUUGAGACCAGCCUGACCAACAUGGUGAAACCCCGUCUCUA